rnacentral:misc_RNA from 1 species
UUUCCGUUGGUGAACCUGCGGAAGGAUCAUUACCGAGUGAGGGCCCUCUGGGUCCACCCUCCCACCCGUGUUUAUCGUACCUUGUUGCUUCGGCGGGCCCGCCGCAAGGCCGCCGGGGGGCAUCUGCCCUCUGGCCCGCGCCCGCCGAAGACACCAUUGAACGCUGUCUGAAGAUUGCAGUCUGAGCAAUUAGUUAAAUAACUUAAAACUUUCAACAACGGAUCUCUUGGUUCCG